CCUACGGGCGGCUGCAGUGAGGAAUAUUGGUCAAUGGACGAGAGUCUGAACCAGCCAAGUAGCGUGAAGGAUGACUGCCCUAUGGGUUGUAAACUUCUUUUAUAAAGGAAUAAAACGAGGCACGUGUGCCUUUUUGCAUGUACUUUAUGAAUAAGGAUCGGCUAACUCCGUGCCAGCAGCCGCGGUAAUACGGAAGAUCCGAGCGUUAUCCGGAUUUAUUGGGUUUAAAGGGAGCGUAGAUGGGUUGUUAAGUCAGUUGUGAAAGUUUGCGGCUCAACCGUAAAAUUGCAAUUGAUACUGGCAGUCGUGAGUACAGUUGAGGUAAGCGGAAUUCGUGGUGUAGCGGUGAAAUGCUUAGAUAUCACGAAGAACCCCGAUUGCGAAGGCAGCUUACUAAACUGUGACUGACAUUGAUGCUCGAAAGUGUGGGUAUCAAACAGGAUUAGAUACCCCUGUAGUC
rnacentral:rRNA from 1 species